AUUGAACGCUGGCGGCAUGCCUAACACAUGCAAGUCGAACGGCAGCACGGGAGCUUGCUCCUGGUGGCGAGUGGCGGACGGGUGAGUAAUGCAUAGGAAUCUGCCCAGUAGCGGGGGACAACUUGGGGAAACUCAAGCUAAUACCGCAUGCGCCCUACGGGGGAAAGCGGGGGACCUUCGGGCCUCGCACUAUUGGAUGAGCCUAUGUCAGAUUAGCUUGUUGGUGGGGUAACGGCCUACCAAGGCGACGAUCUGUAGCUGGUCUGAGAGGACGAUCAGCCACACUGGGACUGAGACACGGCCCAGACUCCUACGGGAGGCAGCAGUGGGGGAAUAUUGCACAAUGGGCGAAAGCCUGAUGCAGCAAUGCCGCGUGUGUGAAGAAGGCCUGCGGGGUUGUAAAGCACUUUCAGUAGGGAGGAAACAGUAGCCGGUUAAUAUCCGGUUGCCUUGACGUUACCUACAGAAGAAGCACCGGC
rnacentral:rRNA from 1 species